CAACGCCUCCUCAAGGAAGCCCACAGCAUGUCCGCCAGCCGCCAUGUUGGUGAUAGGGAGAUCUCUGUGCGGCCCGGUCCUGAGGGUACCCGGAGCCGCUGAGCUCAGGGCCGGCUGGCCAAGGACGGAACCUGUUUGUGGCGGGACGUGGAAGCUCUGUAGCAAUUUCCAUUUCCAGGAAGUAAUCGGGUGGCCCUGGGCUCCUCCGGUGGAGUUGAACAGGAGACCCCCGGGGCCGAGCCGCAGUCGUGGCUUCCUCCAUCAGCAACACUCCUGGUGACUCACUCUUCUGUUCAGGAGCUUUAGUCGCCACAUGAUCCCCAGAGUGUGACCGCUCUUGGUGCCAGCUUUGCUCCUGACCUCAUCUUUGGGAUCACCUCAAGUCCUGGCAGUCACCAACGCCUCCCCACAGGCCUCCUCCCCACCCUCGCCAACCUGCAAGCCAUCCUCCAUGCAGGGCCGGUGUGAUGGGUGAAGAUUCAGGUGACGACCCUGCUGCACUGACACCCACCUCCUCGGACUGGAGCUCUGAGUCCUGGAGGCCUGACGGGGUCUGAGCCCUGACGCGCUGCUUCAUGUUCCAGAACCUUCCCCCGCUGCCCCUCACGGGCCCCCAGAGUCCACACAGGGGUUUACAUGCAAAUCCAGGGAACAGCACACACCCUUGGCCUGUCGUCUGUGUGUAAGGCUUGACUACAGGAGCUGGCGGGUCUAUAAAAUGAGACGUAUGUGCCCGGAGCUCAUCACUGGGCUUCCUAGGGUGCCGCUCCAUCUGCAAUCCACCAGCGGUCCUAACCGCCCACUCCCAGCGACAAGGACGGGUGGACCUUGACGCGCCAGCCACCCGUGUUCCCGGGCUGGGUGUCUGUGGUUGAUCAUUGUUCUAUGUCAAGAAGGAAGCUACAGAAUCACCACCCCCACCCCCAGGAAUAUGAUGCACCUUUUAAAGACUCCAUAACCUGCAUGGUACACGAAGAAGCAGCCUUCAAGAUCCUCAAUAAAUGUGAUUAAUAAAAAA